rnacentral:rRNA from 1 species
AUGCUGGAAGCUGGCCACCUGCGUGCUGCGUGCUGGCCGCACCUGGACUACACCGCCCGCAUCCGUGAGGCACGCGUCUUCCGUCGCUCGUCCUUUCAUGUUGCCGCCGUCCUAGAGGAGCAAUGGCAUCCAUGGUUGCCGCCUCCUCGAGCCGAGAUGCAACAACAUAUCCGGCAACAAGAUUUUUGUUACAAUUUUUUUUCACAACAUGAUAUUUGUUGUGAAAAAAUCUACUCCCUCCUUUCAUCUAUAUCUCUCCCUACUAAUGAACCAGCGAUUGCUUCUGGUCGUACGUCGUGCUUUUUUGCAAAAAAGUCCCCCUGCUUCUGA